rnacentral:lncRNA from 1 species
UAUGUUUUAUUUCUAACUGCAUUAUUAUUAUGUAACUGUAACUUUAGUGAAAUUGAAAACUUUCCUUGGUUUGUUUUUAGGUGCUGAUGGUGAGACGUGAAGUCAAAUCCAUUGAAGAGAACGCUGACUUCAAACUCAGUCUGCAAACAGACCUUUUCUCCUCCGCCUUUUAUUUGUGACUCGUCCACCUGAGCGACCUGCUGUGGUGUCCAGGAGGCAGAUAGGACACUGUGUCGCCCUCUUAUCUUCUUCUCCCUCGCUGGACCAAACAGCCCUGGUACACACAGCACAGGUACACACUCUCAGACAGAUAACACACACACACACACACACAGCUUUCACACAAACGCUCCAGCCCUGUAGAUAAUUGCAUCAG